rnacentral:lncRNA from 10 species
AAUGCAUUUUUGGAGAUCCACACCAAUUUAUUCUGUACUCAGCCUAUAGAAUGUAAAAUAAGAUCUUAAAUAUAGCCAGGAAAAAGCCAAACUUCCUCAGAGAAAUGAAUAUUCUAUUGAUUCCAAGGGCAGAAAUGGUUCAUCAUAUAAGGAUCAAUGAUCAUAAUGAGCUGUGAAGGUCAAACUUGGCCAACCAUAGCGGGAUGUGCAUUAAAAAGAUCAGAAUGCUUUGACGCAGCGUGGAGUCAGAGAAAGUGCUUGGAACUGGAAAUCAAGAUACAUGAGUCAUCGUUCCAGUUAUGCCUCUUCCUAUUUGGCCUUGAGCAAGUCACUUCCCUGCAUGAGCCUUUCUUCCUUUGCUCUGUGAAAUGAGGGCACUAGAGAAGGUGGUCCCUUAUGUACCAGUGUGGGCUAAAGGUCUACUGGUACUUAUAAUAGGAAAAAGAAAGAAGGCAGAGAUCCUGUUCUGACAUUUAAGAAUGAACAAGAAGCCCAGAAGUUUCCCAGAAUGGGAAAGAGAAAUUUGAUUAAAGACAGGAUGCAUCAUUGAAGGCAAAGUAACUGUGCCUCU